CGUGAAGCCCAAUGGCGAGAAGCCGGACGAGUUCGAGUCCGGCAUCUCCCAGGCUCUUCUGGAACUGGAGAUGAACUCGGACCUCAAGGCUCAGCUCAGAGAGCUGAAUAUUACGGCAGCCAAGGAAAUUGAAGUUGGUGGUGGUCGGAAAGCUAUCAUAAUCUUUGUUCCCGUUCCUCAACUGAAAUCUUUCCAGAAAAUCCAAGUCCGGCUAGUACGCGAAUUGGAGAAAAAGUUCAGUGGGAAGCAUGUCGUCUUUAUCGCUCAGGUAUCUGUUCUACUGUUGCAGCACGUUUCUGUUUGUGAAUUUUGCUAAAAUUGCUUGUAUUUUGACUGCAUUGGUAGUUGGAUUCAUGAAAACAAUCCUUUUAUGAAUCCAGUUGGGUAGAAAGAUAAAGUACAGGGGGAGCGCCGUGGCUUUAGGCCUGUAAUCCCAGCACUGGGAGGUGGAGGCGGGUGGAUCACUUUAGAGACCAGCCUGGGCAACAUGGUAAGACCCUGUCUACAAAAAA
rnacentral:sRNA from 1 species